rnacentral:rRNA from 1 species
GACGAACGCUGGCGGCGUGCCUAAUACAUGCAAGUCGAACGCAGUGGGGACGGGUGAGUAACCCGUGGGUAACCUCCCAUCAGAGGGGAUAACACUUGGAAACAGGUGCUAAACCGAUACUGAUGGAUGGUCCCGCGGUGCAUGGGCUAGUUGGUGAGUUAACGGCUCACCAAGGCCACGAUGCAUAGACGACCUGAGAGGUGGAUCGGCCACACUGGAACGGAGAAACGGCCCAGAUUCCGACGGGAGGCAGAAGUAGGGAAUAUUCGGCAAUGGACGAAAGUCUGACCGAGCAAAGCCGCGUGAGUGAAGAAGGUGUUCGGAUCGUAAAACUCUGUUGGUAGAGAAGCGGUAUCUAACCAGAAAGCCACGGCUAACUCCGUGCCAGCAGCCGCGGUAAUUC